rnacentral:rRNA from 1 species
UACGUAGGGGGCAAGCGUUGUCCGGAAUCAUUGGGCGUAAAGCGCGUGUAGGCGGCUUGGUAAGUCUGCUCUGAAAGCCCGGGGCUCAACCCUGGGAGGCGGGUGGAUACUGCCGAGCUCGAGUCCGGAAGAGGCGAGUGGAAUUCCUGGUGUAGCGGUGAAAUGCGCAGAUAUCAGGAGGAACACCAAUGGCGAAGGCAGCUCGCUGGGACGGUACUGACGCUGAGACGCGAAAGCGUGGGGAGCAAACGGG